GUGAGAGUUUCGUGGUAACUAUGGAGAGAAUUUUGUUCGCGAGUUAUGACUUUAUUUUCGAGGUUUGGAUUUGUACGUUUAGUACUUUUAGGUUUAUUUCUUCAUAUUGUACUAUCGUUUGUUUACUCAUUUAGUGAAAAUGUACCUUCUUUGCCUGUGGUUUUUUCCUCUUUGAGGAUGUUCCACGUAAAAAUAUUUGUGUUUGUUCUUCUCCACUUUUACUAUAUUAUUGUUUAUACGAGUCAAUCCCCA
rnacentral:lncRNA from 1 species